rnacentral:rRNA from 1 species
CGAGCAAGGAUGAAAAUCGGACUUAGUGAUCCGGUGGUUCUGCGUGGAAGGGCCAUCGCUCAACGGAUAAAAGCUACCCUGGGGAUAACAGGCUUAUCUCCCCAAAGAGUCCACAUCGACGGGGGGGUUUGGCACCUCGAUGUCGGCUCAUCACAUCCUGGGGCUGUAGUAGGUCCCAAGGGUUGGGCUGUUCGCCCAUUAAAGUGGUACGCGAGCUGGGUUCAGAACGUC